UACGUAGGGUGCAAGCGUUAAUCGGAAUUACUGGGCGUAAAGCGUGCGCAGGCGGUUGUGCAAGACAGAUGUGAAAUCCCCGGGCUCAACCUGGGAAUUGCAUUUGUGACUGCACGGCUAGAGUGUGUCAGAGGGGGGUAGAAUUCCACGUGUAGCAGUGAAAUGCGUAGAGAUGUGGAGGAAUACCGAUGGCGAAAGGCAGCCCCCUGGGAUAACACUGACGCUCAUGCACGAAAGCGUGGGGAGCAAACAGG
rnacentral:rRNA from 1 species